AUAUAUAAGAUUAUUGUAACAAGUUUAUCUAGCUAUAAAAAUACUCCAAUUAUAUAUUCUUAAGCUUUUCAUCACCCAAACAUUUUUGCUACUCAAUUUAAUAUUCAAACUAAUUAUUUUUUUCUCAUUUUAAUACACUUACUUUUAAAACUAUGCCUAUUUUAAUAUCCAAACUACACUAAUUUUAAUAAACCAAAUAUUAAUAAGUUUCAGACAAAGCUUAAACAAUAUCUAAAAUUAAAAUUUAAAUCUUAAAAUUUUCAAAAUUUAUUUAAAUUUUAAGAAUAAAAUUAACUAAGUUUUGGAUAGUAUUUUAAAAUUUAGAAAAAAACAUUUUGAAUAAAAUAAAUAAAUUAUUUUUAAACUUUAAAAAACAAAAAUAAAUUUGAAAUUAAAACUAAAACUAAUAUUAAAAAAACAAUUCAAGAUUAUCCAAAUAUAGUUACUUUUAUUCUUAAAAGUUAAAAUAAAAUUUAAUAAUUUUAAGAUUUUUUGAAAUUUUAGAGAUUUCUAAGUUUUGUUUGAAAGUUAUUAUUAACAUGAGCAUACUUUAGGUAUUAAAAUGAGCAUAUUUUAAAAGUAAAUGUAUUAAAAUGAGAAAAAUAAUUAGUUUAGGGAAUAAAAAAAGUUUGGGUAUUAAAAAGUUUAACAAAAUUUAGUUGCGUUAUUUUUAUGGAAUUUUCCCUUUUAAGAAUUAACCUUUGUUUCUAAAUAUAAUUUUUUUGUAAUAAUCAUACUUUAUAGAUCGAAUGGUCAUAGUCAAUGGUCAAUCAUAUCUGGUUUAGUAAUGUUCCUAAUUUUUUCUUUGACUUGUGGAAUCUUAUACACCACUUAUUUAGACAAAGAAGAAAGAAAAAAGUAACACAUUAACAAUAUUGUGCUUUUUGUCAUCAAGGAUAUUUUGUUUAAAAGUGGUAUUUAAUGUUUUUGCACAUGGAUUAAUAUUUUUUUUAUUUUUUAUAUAAUUUAUCUUGGUUACAUAUGAAUAUCAUUAAAUAAAGUUAAUUCAACCAAUAAAAAAGUAGUCACGAAAUUCAAAUGAUAUUAAAUUCUAUUUAGAAUAGUGAAUAAUCGCUGCAAAAAUAUUUUCUUUAAACACCACUUAAAUUGAUAUGGUAGAAUUAUACAGCAAGAUUUUCUAAAUAAUCUAUAAGAAGAAAAUAUAUGUGCAUAUAUGUUAGGUAAAGAAAAAAAAGACUAGUCAAAAUGAUAAUUAAUGGAUAAAUAUAUUGCCUCUUUAAAAUUAUUUGGUGACAUAACAUACUUUAUAUUUAUCUUAAAUAUUUUAUUUUGUAUAAAUAAUACCAAGAAUAUAAAAUCACAGUUUUCAGGAGAAGCACAUCACAAGAUUGCUUAAAACGUCAAAACCAUGAAAAUACAGGCAUCCUUGAUAUUCAUGUUCAUCCUCUCUUUCUUUGCUUUACAUCAGUGUGCAAAGACGAAUGUUAAAGGAAUAGAGGAUUCAAACAUAGUCAUAACAUCAAAUUGUGUUCAGGCUGGGUGUUUUCAUAUAUUUAAAAAAGAUUGUUGGUGUUGUCCAGGACCAGGACGCAAAUGUUGGAAAGACAAAGCUUCGUGUGAUGCUAUAUGUCCUCGUCCUCCAAAAUAAUGUAAUAAAUCUUAAUUUAUUAGAGAUUGUUGUUCAGUGACGCAUAUUAAAGUAUUCAAUAAUAAAAAAUAAAUUAGUUUUACCUACA